CAGAAUUUGAAAAAGAAAGAAACACGCCUAUUCCACCCAAACCUCCAUCAAAUUUCAAAGCAUUAAAAAAGAGAAAAGAAAGCAAAAACUCUUGCUCGAAGAAAAGCCUUAAAGAACAAGAAGGAAAAAAAAUAAACGUUUACUUAAAGAGGAUCAUCGGUGCGCUUCUUGCCGUCGGCCACGUCUUCACUUCUCUUCGUUCGCGUUUUUU